GACGAACGCUGGCGGCGUGCCUAAUACAUGCAAGUAGAACGCUGAAGAGAGGAGCUUGCUCUUCUUGGAUGAGUUGCGAACGGGUGAGUAACGCGUAGGUAACCUGCCUUGUAGCGGGGGAUAACUAUUGGAAACGAUAGCUAAUACCGCAUAACAAUGGAUGACACAUGUCAUUUAUUUGAAAGGGGCAAUUGCUCCACUACAAGAUGGACCUGCGUUGUAUUAGCUAGUAGGUGAGGUAAUGGCUCACCUAGGCGACGAUACAUAGCCGACCUGAGAGGGUGAUCGGCCACACUGGGACUGAGACACGGCCCAGACUCCUACGGGAGGCAGCAGGAGGGAAUCUUCGGCAAUGGGGGCAACCCUGACCGAGCAACGCCGCGUGAGUGAAGAAGGGUUUCGGAUCGUAAAGCUCUGUUGUAAGUCAAGAACGGGUGUGAGAGUGGAAAGUUCACACUGUGACGGUAGCUUACCAGAAAGGGACGGCUAACUACGUG
rnacentral:rRNA from 1 species